GCCGGGCGCAGUGGCGGGCGCCUGUAGUCCCAGGUACUCGGGAGGCUGAGGCAGGAGAAUGGCAUGAACCCGGGAGGCGGAGCUUGCAGUGAGCUGAGAUCCGGCCACUGCACUCCAGCCUGGGUGGCAGAGCGAGACUCCGUCUCAAAAAAAAAAAAAAAAAAAAAGAAAUGGAGUCUCACUCUGUCGCCCAGGCUGGAGUGUAGUGGCGUGAUGUCGGCUCACUGCAAACUCUGCCUCCAAAGUUCAAGCAAUUCUCCUGCCUCAG
rnacentral:SRP_RNA from 1 species